AAAAAAAUCAAGGAGGUUACCGAGGAGGUGGCAAACAAAGUUUCAUGUGCAAUGACAGAUGAAAUUUGUCGACUGUCUGUUUUGGUUGAUGAAUUUUGUUCAGAGUUUCAUCCUAAUCCAGAUGUAUUAAAAAUAUAUAAAAGUGAAUUAAAUAAGCACAUAGAGGAUGGUAUGGGAAGAAAUUUGGCUGAUCGAUGCACCGAUGAAGUAAACGCCUUAGUGCUUCAGACCCAGCAAGAAAUUAUGGGUAAUAUUUAUGUCUACAAGGUCAUGUCUGGUUUGUUUUUUCAUUCAUGACUGGUGAAGAGCUUAUUUUCCUUUAGGCAUUCCAUUGAAGGUAAAACAUUUACCAUUCUUUCUUAAGUGUUGUAAUUUUGUUCUUUCUAGAAAAUUUGAAGCCAUUACUUCCAGCUGGUAUACAGGAUAAACUACAUACACUGAUCCCUUGCAAGAAAUUUGAUCUCAGUUAUAAUCUAAAUUACCACAAGUUAUGUUCAGAUUUUCAAGAGGAUAUUGUAUUUCGUUUUUCCCUGGGCUGGUCUUCCCUUGUACAUCGAUUUUUGGGCCCUAGAAAUGCUCAAAGGGUGCUCCUAGGAUUAUCAGAGCCUAUCUUUCAGCUCCCUAGAUCUUUAGCUUCUACUCCCACUGCUCCUACCACUCCAGCAACGCCAGAUAAUGCAUCACAGGAAGAACUCAUGAUUACAUUAGUAACAGGAUUGGCGUCCCUUACAUCUAGAACUUCUAUGGGCAUCAUUAUUGUUGGAGGAGUGAUUUGGAAAACUAUAGGCUGGAAACUCCUAUCUGUUUCAUUAACUAUGUAUGGAGCUUUGUAUCUU
rnacentral:sRNA from 1 species